UGCUAGCAAGACUCCGAACGUUCCAGGGGCCCUGGCCGUUUUCUUAUAUUUUCCCCAGGAGUCCUCACAGCCCCCACCGGCUACAGCCGGGCAGAGAUCACACUGCGGUGCAGGGGACACGGCGGUGCAGGGGCUGCCCCCGCCCCAAGCAGCGCGGACGGGAGGACACAGGCCGCGCCCUCCCGCGCCGCUUCCUGGCCGGCGUGGCGGACGUUCAGAACGUCGCCGGCUACCUCUCCCCACAGCCACGCACGUGACAGGGACCGAGCGCCGCCGCCCUCGCGCUCCCGCCAGGCCGGGCCGUCCUGCAGGGGUCGGUUUAGCCCAUGUGAGCAAAAGCUCUGGGGUCCUCGGAUUUUCUAGAGUGUAAAUGGAUCCUGACACGGAAAGUGUAAGAACCACUGCUCUCAUCCAUAAACAUCCGCGUUCCUCAUCUUAGGUCUUCAGCAGUUUCAGUGAAGCUUUCUGAGGUGAUCCAAAGCCUGUACAUCUUUGAUUAGAGGUUUCUUGGACCGACUUUGAUUUGGAAUCUGGCAGAAGCUUCCUUCACAACCACCACCUUCACCACUUUCACAGUCUCAGCACCAUUCGCUUUCUGCUGAAAAUGGGAAGCACAUUGUUAAUGGCUUGUGUAUUAAUAGCUUCUUAGGAUUUACUAGUGAGUACUUAAUGUUUAUUAAUGAGUAUUAGGAGUACACGCUAACCAUUUUCCAUGUAAGUGUAGGUUUUCUGUCCUGUUUGAAUUAUUUCAAAGUGGAAUGUACUAAAUUUUCUGGAAGAAGGUUCAGCCAUAGCCCAUUACUACAACAAUAGUAGUAUAUGGGGGUCCCUGACAGUUGUCUCCAACUUAACUAUCCUUCAAACACUCAAUGUCUAAGUCAUUUGAAGGGAAAAAAUGGGGGGUGGGAUUCUCUGUGAAUAAGUAAAUUUGGAGCUAGGUUUGUGGGGUUUUGUGUUUUUUAAUUUCAUGAUAUAAUACAAUUUUCUACUGGGACACUGCUUUUUUGUCUAAGACCAGCUCACCUCAAAGGUCUCCACUUGUUUUUGUGUUUAUGUUUAAUGCUAUAGUCUUUCCAAUUUUUUCCUAAAAGGGAGGCCUGGUAUCAUUUCUUGUGAACGUUGCUAUGUUCUGUUCAUCUGAUAAUUUUUCACCAAAUAUA